rnacentral:rRNA from 1 species
UACGGAGGAUGCAAGCGUUAUCCGGAUUUAUCGGGUUUAAAGGGUGCGCAGGUUGUUUGAUAAGUCAGUGGUGAAAGUCUGUCGCUUAACGGUAGGAUUGCCAUUGAUACUGUUGGACUUGAAUAUGGAUGAGGUAGGCGGAAUGUGUAGUGUAGCGGUGAAAUGCAUAGAUAUUACACAGAACACCGAUUGCGAAGGCAGCUUACUAAUCCAUCAUUGACGCUGAGGCACGAAAGCGUGGGGAUCAAACAGGA